rnacentral:rRNA from 1 species
UACGUAGGGCGCAAGCGUUGUCCGGAAUUAUUGGGCGUAAAGAGCUCGUAGGCGGUUUGUCGCGUCUGCUGUGAAAUCCCCAGGCUCAACUUGGGGCGUGCAGUGGGUACGGGCAGACUAGAGUGCGGUAGGGGAGACUGGAAUUCCUGGUGUAGCGGUGGAAUGCGCAGAUAUCAGGAGGAACACCGGUGGCGAAGGCGGGUCUCUGGGCCGAUACUGACGCUGGAGGAGCGAAAGCGUGGGAGCGAACAGG